CAGGACGAACGCUGGCGGCGUGCCUAAUACAUGCAAGUCGAACGGUCUUUCUAUGGAAGCUUGCUUCCACUGAGAAGAUAGUGGCGAACGGGUGAGUAACACGUGGGUAACCUGCCCAUAAGAGGGGGAUAACAUCCGGAAACGGGUGCUAAUACCGCAUAGUUUUCUUGAUCGCAUGAUUGAGAAAGGAAAGAUGGCCUUUGUGCUGUCGCUUAUGGAUGGACCCGCGGCGUAUUAGUUAGUUGGUGAGGUAACGGCUCACCAAGACGAUGAUACGUAGCCGACCUGAGAGGGUGAUCGGCCACAUUGGGACUGAGACACGGCCCAAACUCCUACGGGAGGCAGCAGUAGGGAAUCUUCCGCAAUGGACGAAAGUCUGACGGAGCAACGCCGCGUGAGUGAAGAAAGGUUUUCGGAUCGUAAAACUCUGUUGUCAGAGAAGAACAAGUUGGAGAGUAACUGCUCCAGCCUUGACGGUAUCUGACCAGAAAGCCACGGCUAACUACGUGCCAGCCGCAGC
rnacentral:rRNA from 1 species